GGUCUCCGUUGGUGAACCAGCGGAGGGAUCAUUACUGAGUUACCGCUCUAUAACCCUUUGUGAACAUACCUACAACUGUUGCUUCGGCGGGUAGGCCGUCCCCUGAAAAGGACGCCUCCCGGCCCGGACCGGACCCCCCGCGGGACCGGACCCGGCGCCCGCCGGAGGAUAACCAAACUCUAUUGUAACGACGUUUCUUCUGAGUGGCAUAAGCAAAAUAAUCAAAACUUUUAACAACGGAUCUCUUGGUUCUGGCAUCGAUGAAGAACGCAGCGAAAUGCGAUAAGUAAUGUGAAUUGCAGAAUUCAGUGAAUCAUCGAAUCUUUGAACGCACAUUGCGCCCGCCAGCAUUCUGGCGGGCAUGCCUGUUCGAGCGUCAUUUCAACCCUCAAGCUCUGCUUGGUGUUGGGGCUCUACGGUCGACGUAGGCCCUCAAAGGUAGUGGCGGACCCUCCCGGAGCCUCCUUUGCGUAGUAACAUUUCGUCUCGCACUGGGAUCCGGAGGGACUCUUGCCGUAAAACCCCCCAAUUUUCCAAAGGUUGACCUCGGAUCAGGUAGGAAUACCCGCUGAACUUAAGCA
rnacentral:rRNA from 1 species